UUGGCCGGGCGACGGUUGUCCCGGUUUAAGCGUGUAGGUGUGUGUUCCAGGUAAAUCCGGUUCACUUUAACACUGAGGCGUGACGACGAGGCACUACGGUGCUGAAGCAACAAAUGCCCUGCUUCCAGGAAAAGCCUCUAAGCAUCAGGUAACAUCAAAUCGUACCCCAAACCGACACAGGUGGUCAGGUAGAGAAUACCAAGGCGCUUGAGAGAACUCGGGUGAAGGAACUAGGCAAAAUGGUGCCGUAACUUCGGGAGAAGGCACGCUGACACGUAGGUGAAGUGAUUUACUCAUGGAGCUGAAGUCAGUCGAAGAUACCAGCUGGCUGCAACUGUUUAUUAAAAACACAGCACUGUGCAAACACGAAAGUGGACGUAUACGGUGUGACGCCUGCCCGGUGC
rnacentral:rRNA from 1 species